CGAAUUCAAAAGGCGAGACACAAAUGCCUACAUACAAAGACUAAUUUGAAAACAAAAUUCUAUUUUCUUAAUAAAGUCGUGCGGUAUAUACGAUAGCCAAAAGCAGUUCGUCGUAUAUUGUCAUGUAACUUCAAAUAAAUGCAGUGUGGAUCAGGGCCUUUUUUAGGAUUUUCCCGUGGGGGGGGGGCAUUUUUUGAAAAGGGACCUUUCUGUGAGAUAACAUAUUAGAGGGGGAUAGCAAUGGCUGAAAGCCACGUGUGUGGCAAAUAUAUCACGCAUGAAUGGGGGGAUCUGGGGGUGUACUCCCCUAGAAAAUUUUUGAAAUUUGAACCCGG